AAAAUUUAUCAUAAUAUUUUACAAGAUAAAACUUGUUAGAAAAUUCAAAAGUCCAUAACAUUAUUUUUUAAGAUUUCACAUUAUUAUUUAUAAAUAGACUAUCCUAAUUUUCAUGAAUAAAAAUCCCCACAUUUCAAAGGGUUAUUAAGAUCUUAAAAAGAUAACUCAACAUCAUACAUCAUUAAUAAUAAUUAACUAAUUAAGAUAGUAGCAAGAUAUAUAUGAGUUGAAUAUGUUGCGAUUAAGUAAUUACUGUCAUGUAAGAAUCCAUCAUGUCUAUUAAAAAAAAA
rnacentral:lncRNA from 1 species